rnacentral:rRNA from 1 species
UGAACGCUGGCGGCGUGCUUACACAUGCAAGUUGAAUGGGAACCAUUCGUUCCACUUCGGUGGAAAGGGAUGGGGGAGAAUAGCGAACGAGUGAGUAACACGUAGCGACCUACCCUGUAGCGGGGGAUAACCACUGGAAACGGUGGCUAAUACCGCAUAGACUCGAAAGAGGAAAGUGCCCACGGGCAUACUACAGGAGGGGGCUGCGGGCCAUCAGGUAGUUGGUGAGGUAGAGGCUCACCAAGCCAACGACGGCUAUCUGACGUGAGAGCGUGGUCAGACACGAGGACACUGAGACACGGGUCCUACUCCUACGGGAGGCAGCAGUGGGGAAUCUUGGACAAUGGGGGCAACCCUGAUCCAGCGACGCCGCGUGAACGACGACGUCCUUCGGGAUGUAAAGUUCUUUUUACAGGGGAGAAAGUACACCUCAGGGAAUGGGGGUGUAUUGACGGUACCCGUAGAAUAAGCCCCGGCUAACUACGUGCCAGCAGCCGCGGUAAGACGUAGGGGGCAAGCGUUACCCGGAAUCACUGGGCGUAAAGGGGGCGUAGGCGGUCUAAAGGGUCAUAUGUUAAAAGAUACGGCUUAACCGUAGAGAUGCGUAUGAAACCGUUAGACUUGAGGGUAGCAGAGGAAAAGGGAAUUACCACUGUAGGGGUGAAAUCCGUAGAGAGUGGUAAGAAUGCCGGUGGCGAAGGCGCUUUUCUGGGUUACACCUGACGCUGAGGCCCGAAAGCCAGGGGAGCGAACCGGAUUAGAUACCCGGGUAGUCCUGGCCGUAAACGAUGCUCACUAGGUGUAGUAGGUCGACAGGCCUGCUGUGCUGAAGCAAACGCGAUAAGUGAGCCGCCUGGGGAGUACGUCCGCAAGGAUGAAACUCAAAGGGAUUGACGGGGGCCCGCACAAGCGGUGGAGCGUGUGGUUCAAUUCGAAGCUAAGCGAAGAACCUCACCAGGUCUUGACAUAUAAGUGGUAGUGAAGGGAAACCGGAACGACUCUGGCAUUGCCAGAGAGCUUAUACAGGUGGUGCAUGGUCGUCGUCAGCUCGUGCCGUGAGGUGUUGGGUUAAGUCCCGCAACGAGCGCAACCCCUGUUAUUAGUUGCCAGCACGAAGGUGGGCACUCUAAUAAGACUGCCGUCGAAGAGACGGAGGAAGGAGGGGACGACGUCAGAUCAUCAUGCCCCUUAUGAUCUGGGCUACACACGCGCUACAAUGGGUUAGUCAACGGGCGAAGCCGCGAGGCGGAGGGAAUCCUGAAACUAACCCCCAGUUCAGAUUGCAGGCUGCAACCCGCCUGCAUGAAGAUGGAAUCGCUAGUAAUCGCAGAUCAGAACGCUGCGGUGAUACGUUCCCGGGCCUUGUACACACCGCCCGUCACACCAACCGAGUUGG